UACGUAGGGUGCAAGCGUUAAUCGGAAUUACUGGGCGUAAAGCGUGCGCAGGCGGUUGUGUAAGACAGAUGUGAAAUCCCCGGGCUCAACCUGGGAACUGCAUUUGUGACUGCACAGCUGGAGUGCGGCAGAGGGGGGUAGAAUUCCACGUGUAGCAGUGAAAUGCGUAGAGAUGUGGAGGAAUACCGAUGGCGAAGGCAGCCCCCUGGGCCAAUACUGACGCUCAUGCACGAAAGCGUGGGGAGCAAACAGG
rnacentral:rRNA from 1 species